rnacentral:rRNA from 1 species
UACGAAGGGGGCUAGCGUUGUUCGGAAUCAUUGGGCGUAAAGAGCGCGCAGGCGGCUUGGUAAGUCGGAUGUGAAAUCCCGAGGCUCAACCUCGGGUCUGCAUCCGAUACUGCCCGGCUAGAGGUAGGUAGGGGAGAUCGGAAUUCCUGGUGUAGCGGUGAAAUGCGCAGAUAUCAGGAGGAACACCGGUGGCGAAGGCGGAUCUCUGGGCCUUACCUGACGCUGAGGAGCGAAAGUGUGGGGAGCGAACAGG